UACGUAGGUGGCAAGCGUUGUCCGGAUUUACUGGGCGUAAAGCGCGCGCAGGCGGUCGUUCAAGUCGCGUGUGAAAGACCCCGGCUCAACUGGGGGAUGUCGUGCGAUACGGGCGGACUGGAGGCCAGUAGGGGGAUGCGGAAUUCCGGGUGUAGUGGUGGAAUGCGUAGAGAUCCGGAGGAACACCAGCGGCGAAGGCGGCAUCCUGGACUGGUCCUGACACUCAGGAGCGAAAGCGUGGGGAGCGAUCCGG
rnacentral:rRNA from 1 species